GUGAGGAAUAUUGCGCAAUGGAGGCAACUCUGACGCAGCCAUGCCGCGUGCAGGAAGAAGGCGCUACGCGUUGUAAACUGCUUUUAACCGGGAAGAAACCCCAGGACGUGUCCUGGGUUGACGGUACCGGAGGAAUAAGCACCGGCUAACUUCGUGCCAGCAGCCGCGGUAAUACGAAGGGUGCAAGCGUUAUCAGGAGUCAUUGGGUUUAAAGGGUGCGUAGGCGGAGCGUUAAGUCAGUGGUUAAAUCCUGCAGCUUAACUGGAUACUUGCCAUUGAUACUGGCGCUCUUGAGUGCGCUUGAAGUGGGCGGAAUGUGCCGUGUAGCGGUGAAAUGCUUAGAUAUGGCACAGAACACCAAUUGCGAAGGCAGCUCACUAAGGCGAUACUGACGCUGAGGCACGAAAGCGUGGGGAUCGAACAGGAUUAGAUACCCCGGUAGUCC
rnacentral:rRNA from 1 species